rnacentral:rRNA from 1 species
CCUGGUGGUUAUGGCGGAGCGGCUGCACCCGAUCCCAUUCCGAACUCGGCCGUGAAACGCUCCAGCGCUGAUGGUACU